rnacentral:rRNA from 1 species
UACGGAGGGUGCAAGCGUUGUCCGGAUUUAUUGGGUUUAAAGGGUGCGUAGGCGGCCCGUUAAGUCAGUGGUGAAAGCCUCCAGCUCAACUGGAGAACUGCCAUUGAUACUGACGGGCUUGAGUACAGACGAGGUUGGCGGAAUUGAUUGUGUAGCGGUGAAAUGCAUAGAUACAAUCAAGAACUCCGAUUGCGUAGGCAGCUAACUAGGCUGUAACUGACGCUGAGGCACAAAAGCGUGGGGAGCGAACAGG